rnacentral:rRNA from 1 species
UACAGAGGAGCCAAGCGUUGUCCGGAUUUACUGGGCGUAAAGGGCGCGUAGGCGGUCGUGACAAGUCACUUGUGAAAUCUCCGGGCUUAACUCGGAACGGUCAAGUGAUACUGUCGGACUAGAGUACAGAAGGGGCAACUGGAAUUCUCGGUGUAGCGGUGAAAUGCGUAGAUAUCGAGAGGAACACCUGCGGCGAAGGCGGGUUGCUGGGCUGAUACUGACGCUGAGGCGCGAAAGCCCAGGGGAGCGAACGGGG